rnacentral:rRNA from 1 species
UACGGAGGGUGCAAGCGUUAUCCGGAUUUACUGGGUUUAAAGGGUGCGUAGGUGGGCAGGUAAGUCAGUGGUGAAAUCUCCGGGCUUAACCCGGAAACUGCCAUUGAUACUAUCUGUCUUGAAUUUCCUGGAGGUAAGCGGAAUAUGUCAUGUAGCGGUGAAAUGCUUAGAUAUGACAUAGAACACCAAUUGCGAAGGCAGCUUACUACGGGAACAUUGACACUGAGGCACGAAAGCGUGGGGAUUAAACAGG